rnacentral:rRNA from 1 species
GAUUGAGUUUGAUCAUGGCUCAGAUUGAACGCUGGCGGCAUGCCUUACACAUGCAAGUCGAACGGCAGCGCGGGGCAACCUGGCGGCGAGUGGCGAACGGGUGAGUAAUAUAUCGGAACGUACCCUGGAGUGGGGGAUAACGUAGCGAAAGUUACGCUAAUACCGCAUACGAUCUAAGGAUGAAAGUGGGGGAUCGCAAGACCUCAUGCUCCUGGAGCGGCCGAUAUCUGAUUAGCUAGUUGGUGGGGUAAAGGCCUACCAAGGCAUCGAUCAGUAGCUGGUCUGAGAGGACGACCAGCCACACUGGAACUGAGACACGGUCCAGACUCCUACGGGAGGCAGCAGUGGGGAAUUUUGGACAAUGGGCGCGAGCCUGAUCCAGCAAUGCCGCGUGAGUGAAGAAGGCCCUCGGGUUGUAAAGCUCUUUUGUCAGGGAAGAAACGGUGGGGGCUAAUAUCCCUUGCUAAUGACGGUACCUG